UACGUAGGGGGCAAGCGUUGUCCGGAUUUAUUGGGCGUAAAGAGCGUGUAGGCGGCCAGACAGGUCAGCUGUGAAAACUCGAGGCUCAACCUCGAGACGUCGGUUGAAACCGUCUGGCUAGAGUCCGGAAGAGGAGAGUGGAAUUCCCGGUGUAGCGGUGAAAUGCGCAGAUAUCGGGAAGAACACCCGUGGCGAAGGCGGCUCUCUGUGACGGUACUGACGCUGAGACGCGAAAGCGUGGGGAGCGAACAGG
rnacentral:rRNA from 1 species